rnacentral:rRNA from 1 species
AAAACUUUCAACAACGGAUCUCUUGGCUCUCGCACCGAUGAAGAGCGCAGCGAAAUGCGAUAACUAAUGUGAAUUGCAGGCAUCGUGAAUCAUCGAGUUCUUGAACGCACAUUGCGCCCUGUGGUAUUCCGCAGGGCAUGCCUGUUUGAGCGUC